UACGUAGGGUGCGAGCGUUGUCCGGAAUUAUUGGGCGUAAAGAGCUUGUAGGCGGUUUGUCGCGUCUGCUGUGAAAAUCCGGGGCUCAACCCCGGACUUGCAGUGGGUACGGGCAGACUGGAGUGUGGUAGGGGAGACUGGAAUUCCUGGUGUAGCGGUGGAAUGCGCAGAUAUCAGGAGGAACACCGAUGGCGAAGGCAGGUCUCUGGGCCACUACUGACGCUGAGAAGCGAAAGCAUGGGAGCGAACAGG
rnacentral:rRNA from 1 species